rnacentral:siRNA from 1 species
AACUUCGAGGUUCUUAUUGCGU